CCUACGGGAGGCAGCAGUGAGGAAUAUUGGUCAAUGGACGCAAGUCUGAACCAGCCAUGCCGCGUGCAGGAAGACGGCUCUAUGAGUUGUAAACUGCUUUUGUACGAGGGUAAACGCAGAUACGCGUAGGUGUCUGAAAGUAUCGUACGAAUAAGGAUCGGCUAACUCCGUGCCAGCAGCCGCGGUAAUACGGAGGAUUCAAGCGUUCUCCGGAUGUAUUGGGUUUAAAGGGUGCGUAGGCGGUCGGAUUCGGUAGAGGUGCAAGCCCGAGGAUCAACUUCGGAAUUGCCUCUGCUACUGGUCGGCUAGAGCGUAGUUGCUGUCGGCGGCAUGUAUGGUGUAGCGG
rnacentral:rRNA from 1 species